GGGUGUAUAGCUCAAUUGGUAGAGCAAUCGGCUGUUAACCGAUGUGUCGCAGGUUCGAGCCCUGUUAUGCCCG
rnacentral:tRNA from 1 species